CGAACGGGUGAGUAACACGUGAGCAACCUGCCCUAUACAACGGGAUAACACAGAGAAAUUUGUGCUAAUACGGUAUAAGACCACAGUAUCGCAUGAUACAGGGUAAAAGAUUUAUCGGUAUAGGAUGGGCUCGCGACCCAUUAGCUAGUUGGUGAGGUAACGGCCCCCCCAAGGCAACGAUGGGUAGCCGACCUGAGAGGGUGAUCGGCCACACUGGGACUGAGACACGGCCCAGACUCCUACGGGAGGCAGCAG
rnacentral:rRNA from 1 species